UAAACAGUUGUGCUGGCGACCAUAGCAAGAGUGAACCACCUGAUCCCUUCCCGAACUCAGAAGUGAAACCUCUUAGCGCUGAUGGUAGUGUGGGAUUACCCAUGUGAGAGUAAGUCAUCGCCAGCUCAUUAUUC
rnacentral:rRNA from 2 species